rnacentral:misc_RNA from 1 species
GAAAUGCGAUACGUAAUGUGAAUUGCAGAAUUCAGUGAAUCAUCGAAUCUUUGAACGCACCUUGCGCCCCUUGGCAUUCCGAGGGGCACACCCGUUUGAGUGUCGUGAAAUUCUCAAAACCUUUUCUUUGACGGGAAGAGGAUUUUGGACUUGGAGGCUUGAUGCUCGCUUUUGCCCUUGAAAGUGAGCUCCUCUCAAAUGAAUUAGUGGGGUCUGCUUUGCUGGUCCUUGACGUGAUAAGAUGUUUCGACGUUUUGGACUUGGCACUGUCUCUUGGAUGCCUGCUUCAAAUCGUCCACAUUGUGGACAACGAUGGUGCUUUGGUCUCCUCCAUCCACAUUGGUGGGAGGUGGGAGGCUGGACCCACAAAAAAACCUUGACCUCAAAUCGGGUGAGACUACCCGCUGAACUUAA